CCCAAGAGGUUCAGUCUUGUGUGUUCAUAAUCCCUUAUCUUGUACUUGCUAUGGUGACUCAGGGGGUCCAUUAGCAAUGGAAGUGGACGGAGUAUGUACAUUAGUAGGAAUUACUUCUCAGGGGUAUGCAUGUGGAAGUGAGGGUGAUGGUUCGUUUUAUACGAACAUUUCAUACUAUUUCGAUUGGAUCAUUGAUAAUAUAUCAGAGCGUUGUCCAACACCAUUGAACAAAUAAAUCUUUGUUAACUAUUUCA
rnacentral:lncRNA from 1 species